GCAAAACUGGCAUUAAGUACCACCAAAUCUGCAUCAUCUAGUKAACUCCCACAUGAACUUCCAACAUCAAGUGCAAAUGGUGAGAGGAGUUCUGUGGAUACAGAAAAUGAUGAAAGGAGUUCUGUUGAUACAGAAAAUGUAAGUACAUUUGAGGCAUAAGCUUAGUAUUAUGUACUGUGUAUGUCAAGUUGUUAUAUUGAGACUUGCAGUUGAGACCUCUUUAAAUUUAAUAUGAGUAUAGAUCUAAAUCAAAUUGGCAGACACAUCAUUAUAUGUAGGUACUUGUGUUAGUAGUCAGUAAUCAUUAUUCUUAUUUAUUUUUCUUUUCUUUUGUUAGC